GGGGUUGUGGCUCAGUGGUAGAGUGCUUGCCUUGCAUGUGUGAGGCGCUGGGUUCAAUUCUCAGCACUCCA
rfam:Ictidomys tridecemlineatus contig032501, whole genome shotgun sequence.